rnacentral:lncRNA from 1 species
AUGGGGGGGGCGGAGAAAUCAGUCGGAGUAGAAUGGAGUGUGAGGGGUACCUGCAGGCAUCGAAGGAAGGGAUGCAAAGUAGCGGCGCAGCGCUGGUGGCGUGAGGAGGCGGAUGGACGGAGGGAAGCAGUGGUGGGUGAAACACUGCUGCGUGAGGGUAGAGGGACGAAGGAGCUCGCGGUCCUCGUCGGCAGGGGUGCGACGACGCAAGAGCUCGCAUGCUGCUUCGCCGCCGCGCCGCACGUUCCUGAGCCGGCGGGAGCAGCUCCGCGCGGCGCCGUCUUCCCCAUCGCCGGCGGAGGAGGGAGAGCAAGACGCCAGCGAAGCACCGCCACGCAUAAGCGACGACGAGGACGGCGGAAGCCGGCGGAGAUUCACCGCCGCACUGGACGCUUCUGUUCGGAAAAACGGUUUAUACACUAAUUAAUCACGGUUAAUCGCUAUCGGUAAUCGCAAGUUAAGUUCUCCCGUUGCAACUGAAAGCCGUGGAGUAGAUUUUCUGUUACCCAAGACCCACUCUAUUUUUUAUUAGCCCACUGCCUUCCCUUUUUUCCGGAUCUGAGGUCUUGGCUCUUGGCGGCGGUAAGCUCGGGUAAGCUGGGGUCGACGGCGGCGAACUUCACCUACACGCUCCGCGCAGAUUUGACAUGCCAUCAUCCUCUGUACCAUCGCGAUGCCCCUGACGAGAAGGCAGCGAUCGAGGAGGUGCGCCCCACGCUAGAUCGGGAGAAAGAGGUGAGCCCGUCGUGGCCCAUAGAGCACCUCCGUCGCACCACCCGUGCAGAUCGGAGGAUGGGACAUCGUCCCUUGCUCUAUGAGGUGGUGGAACUGGACCUGCUGAUAGGCCUCCCCUAUGGACUGAGCUUUAGCGCCGUUGAUCACCAUCUUCACCGGUCGGAGGAGGCCGAAGAUGUAGCCGUCAGAUCAGGCACGACACUGCCGAUCUUCCUCAUCAGAAACAAGAGCUCCGAGGCAAAGCAAGAGUGUGCUGUAGAAGCUUGGCACAAUGCAGAUGCCUUCCCUCCAGCUGCCCGGAAGGCACUAGGACAGGAGACAGGAGGAGUUCCUUUGAUAUUUGAUUGA